rnacentral:ncRNA from 19 species
UAUGGUGCGCUCGCCGAAGGUAUCCAUCGCUUCAUUCGGAUGAAGGGAUGGAUUUAAACGGGAAUCCGGUGAAAGCGGGCGCCGCAAGCGCCCGCCCAUUCCGGAGCUGCCCCGCAGCGGUGAAUGGAAACGACCUCCGUCAAUGGCACUGGGCCGGCGCAUGCAGGCCUGGGAAGCGACGGACAGUAGGCGCGCAGCCGGUACGGUACGCACGUCCAUCAGCCCGAAUACCGGCCCCGGCCGGAGGACAGUGC